AUACGGAGGAUCCGAGCGUUAUCCGGAUUUAUUGGGUUUAAAGGGUGCGCAGGCGGCCAUUUAAGUCAGCGGUUAAAUCGUAGGGCUCAACCCCAUUCUGCCGUUGAUACUGGGUGGCUUGAUUGCGGUCGAGGUUGGCGGAAUUCGUUGUGUAGCGGUGAAAUGCAUAGAUAUGACGAAGAACACCGAUUGCGUAGGCAGCUGACCAGACCGCAAAUGACGCUCAUGCACGAAAGUGCGGGGAUCGAACAGGAUUAGAUACCCUGGUAGUCCGCACAGUAAACGAUGAAUACUUGUUUUCGGCGAUAUAAUGUCGGAGGCAAAGCGAAAGCGAUAAGUAUUCCACCUGGGGAGUACGCCGGCAACGGUGAAACUCAAAGGAAUUGACGGGG
rnacentral:rRNA from 1 species